CAUAUUUUUAACAUAUUUUAUGGUCUUUAAAAUAAUUAAUUGUAAAUAAUUUAUUUGAUUGGUGCAGUUCUAAUUCCCAAAUCACUUUUAAAAUCAGGAAUGUGUAGCGAGCAGAGCCAUGUGUUAAAUGUUUCUCUUCCCAUUCCUUUGAGCAGCCUCAGUUAAGCCUCACUGUAGAGGGCUCUUUGUAUAGGAAACAGCAGACAGCGUUGUGUUCCGUUUGCCUGUUCUAAGACGUCCCAUAAUGACCAAAGUGCAUUCUGAGUGUUGUUCAAGGAAUGUAUUGCUGGAGCUUUAAGAACACACUUAGUUUCCCAUGUGAAGAAUUAGGCUUUGUCUCAUAUGUUUCUUCCUUCCUAUUGUCUAAUGUUGAGGUUGUUUUUAGGCACUAUAUUUUAUAAACUUUUUCAAAAUAAGGUACAUACCUAUACAGAACUUAACAUUUUGCACAGAGUAUAUCAAAUAUAUUUUGAGAAUAAAAAAGUACAGCAUGAGUUCUGUUAGGAAUAAAGUGAGAUUAUUGUAUCUUUAAAAAAAACUUAUUUCAAGUUGGAAGUAUUUUUGAGCCAACUAGCUGAGAAUCCUGACUUAGGAACAUGCUUGCUUUAGGUCACAGUUGUGUUUGCUGUAGUUGGGGUCGAUUGUACAGUAUACCUGUCAGAACAUGAUGUAUCGGUCGUGCCGUUAGCAUGGGCAGCAGUAGAAUACUAAAAGCAAAGUGUGUUAAGCAGCUUCGUAAUGUUCCCAGAGCCAUUUCAGAGUAGUGAGUGACAGCCCUGCCUGUACAGACACCGUGGAUGUAAGAAGUUGAAAUGUAACCAAUCACAUCAUAGAGAAGAAGCAACUCGGAGGCACAAUCAUGGCGGAUGCUGUGUGCUGUUUCUUUGCUGCGUGUUUUUAAAAGUUUGAACAGCAAGUUUAAAAUAAAACAUUCUAAGGCUGAUUUGUG
rnacentral:lncRNA from 1 species